UUUAUUACUAUUGUCGUCAACGUCGAUCAGUGUUUUCGCUUGUGCACUGUCGAUCUCGAGGUCUCAGUCGCCACCGCGCGUCCUCAGAGACCCUAUGUCCCGAGUCGGCCGACCCGUACACGUAUGUUACUAACGCGCUCCCCAGUGUGGUUUAUAAGUCCCGUUUCGCCAGUUUCGGUGCUAUACUUUGAGUGCGUUUCCCGUUCACCAACCCGCCGUGUUUUUCGUUCGUCAAUUUUUUGGGUGUCACGUGAUCCCUAGCCAACUACGUGUCCGACGCUUGCCGUCCAGACUCCAGAGUUACGUUCGCCGUCCCUUGCCGUCUACGGAUUGGUAUUUGGUACCAGUGCCGUAACAUCGCCACCGGCGUCCAGGAGUCAUCUGCUGUUGUCACUCACCAUCCAGAUAAGACUAUUUUAUUUGUUUAUAUUAUAUUGUAUUUCAUACGCACGGCCAAGGCCGUAACUGAAAAAACAUUUCGGGGGGGGGGGGGAUCCAAAUUCGGAAAUGAUCGCCCACGGCGCUGCUUCUGCGGGUUUCUUGGUCGCUUCCAAGACUUUUAGCGUGAGUUUGGCAUCGCGUUUUAUUUUUUUAAAUAAGCAUCGAAAUCAAUAUCGUACAAUCAACGUCGAUAUGCUUAGUGUUUAUACAAUACGUUAUUAGUUAUUGAACAUCUCAUCAUACAACCUUUUUAAUAACCAACAGAAAAACAAAUAUUUCAAAAAAUGAUGACAUUGUGUAGCGAGCUGAUGUCAUUGAUGUCUGUUGGAGGUACGGUGCCAUUUAUACGUGAUGGACACAAAGCACAUCAAAAUAUUCAAAUUUCAGUUGCCAAGUCUACAGCUUAUUUGGUCAAAUAUAGACCUAAUAAGUAAUAAUACACUAUGGCUUUGUCAACAAAACGGAAUAUUGAGUUCGAUGAAGUUACAUAAAAUUGAUGAAUUCACUGUAAAAUACGAACCAAGUAAAAUUAUUUCAAAUCGAAAAUAGUAAUUGGUGAUUUAAAAACCAAAUUAAAAAAAAAUUGUGUUAAUGGUACGGAACAUGGUUUUCUUAAAUACAAUUACACACGCCAAGAAAUAGCUGCUUGCGAAGAAAAUCUAUUAGACAUGGACAAUGUGAUAAAAUUAGCAGAUGGUACACAGUUGACACUGAAAGAAGCAGCUAGUAAUAGUUCGGUUGCGGGCCCUCAAGGGUAUCAGCGUUGCCAUUGCAAGACUGGUUGUAAUAAUAAGCGUUCAGCCUGCCGUGGGGCUGAAAAAUUAUGUAAUAGUAAAUGUCAUGGCAAUACAACUUGUAAAAAUAAAUAAAUAAUAAUAAUUUA